UUGUUGCGUUAGGGAUUGUAGCGGUAUCCUUUUUGAAAACUUAAAUGGAAUUAAUUAUAAUGAGAACUUUGACUUAACAGGUUACCAUAUCAUUCACUUUUCUUAAUAGUGUUUUAAAAAGAUAUAGCGGAAAGCCCGACCCUUG
rnacentral:sRNA from 1 species